CACCUGACUGAUUUAAAAAUAUUAAUUCAUAAAAUAAAUCAGAGCACACAUUAUUUCAAUAGAUCCCUGAUUUUAGCCAAAGAUCUGUUAGUUUUCUGCAUAGUUAAAUAGUUUAAUUAUUUAUAUUUUGUUUUCUGAAGUCACUCCAUCAGCACCAGACUUUAUUCUUACAGGUAAUUUAUUGUAUUUGAUAAUACUUCAAGACUUCAGUUAAAUAUUUAAAAUAGAAAAACUUAACUGUGUCAUUUCUAUACUGAAUAGAGCUUGUAAAUCAUUUAUAAGUCCUUUCAAAAUGAUAACAUGUGACACAAGUGCAUGUCAUUAAUUUAUUGGAUUUUAUGAAGUUCUAAAUUGAUAUAUACAAAUUUGUAGACUUGAAGCAGGAUUUAUUAGCCUAUUUCACAUUAAAAGUGUUUCUAUUUUUGUUGAUCUUGCCCUUGAAAUUACAAAUAUUAAUUCAACCAAAGAUGCAGCAAUCAAGAAUGUGGGUUUUUGUUUUUUUAAUUGCUGUGUGUCAUCCAAAAGAGACAAUGUUUAUCGCCUGUUCUAUUUUCAAUGUCAAUUUCUUUUUCUAUAAGAAAAAGUUUGAUUUUUUUAAAAAAAUAAUUGUCAAAACAAUGCUAUAUUUGCUAUACUUUUUAAUAAAACUGAGCCUCAAACCUGGCCCUGUAGAGGCACUGUAGAGGCCCUGAACUGACUGUGUAAUAUAGCCCUUGUUAUUUCAUCAUUAUGGAACUAACUACAGAGCUGUUAACAGCACAACUAUAAUACAAACAGAUAAACCAGACAUCUUCAAAUAUAUGGAUAAUUUUGGAAGAUAUUUUGGACAAAAGUCUUCAAGCCGUCAUAAUAUUGUCUAAUGGAAGAUAUCAAUAAAUAUUUCUGAAGCUAAAAAGUUUAAUAUGGAAUUUCUGAAAAAUAUUUGUAAAAAUAAUUGAGGGUGAUUUUCCAGUCCUGGUGAAAAAAAAGCAUUGCAGGAAAUGAACAAUGGAAUCAUAGGCACUCAAGAGGAUCACAGUUCUAUGGCUACUGUACGUAGCGGUACUUUGCUGAGCAAAAACUCUUGAACUGCUUGACAAAAAAGGAAUUCCAUGGUACAUUGUGGUCUAACUGCUGCUGUGCUGUAAAAUUCACUAGGAAUCAUUUUUCACUAUAAUUCAUUUUUCUUCAGUUGUUAACCAUUCCGUGGUCUUCUGAUGGAAGUUAUAAAAUAAAUGCUUUUAGGA